AUUCAGAUAAAUCCGAGUCGACAUAAUCCGUAAUACGAUUUGCUGCAUUCCUGCUUCUCCUUCUUUUAUAAGAUAUAGAGUCAUCAGAGUUUGAACUCUCAUCUUUCUCAACAUAGGAAGCUUCAUUCGAAGAUCGUGCGCGGCUUCGCGUCAAUCGUAUUAAAGACGAAAGAUCUGGUUUACCUCCUCUAGAUUCCCAGUAUGCGUCUAUUAAUUCCAGACAGCCCGCACAAUCUUCUUCAUCAUUCCAUGUAUUAUCGGAAGGGUCAUCGUACCCUUCCCAUUUCAAAUAAUAUUGGAAGCCUGAUCCAUCCUACAUGGUUAGCAAGACAAGUAUUAAUGUUGCGCACCUUUUUCAUCCUACUAUCUAGAAUCAUUUCCACGGCGAAUUCUUCAUCUGAAUUUUUAUCUUCACUACCAGAACUAGCAAUAUACUCAAACCCUUCAUUCAGAGGAACGGGUGAUUGAGAGUUAUGAUCAUCAGAACCACUAGUCUUUUCGAAAUUUGAAGAAACAGAAGCAGAAGAUGAACUUUUAAAUUCGUUUUUGUAACUAGAAGAUUCAUCCUCUUCUUUUUUAUCUUCAGAGUCUUCCAUGUUAGAGAUUGGAGACAAUUUGGAACUUUUGACUUUUCUUAUUUCACAACUGAACGACACAUUGUGAGUCUUCUGAGACCCUGAAUUUCCAUGACUGUAUAAGUCUAAAGAAUUUUGAAUAUGGGUUUUUUCGGGAACACUAAGACCGUAAAGCGAAGGAUGCCAUGAACCAUUUUGAGGACUUUCCAAACUCGCUGUCGAAGACUUAUUGUUAAUUGAAUUUUCGGCUUCUUCAACAGUGAAUGGUGGAGGACUAAAAUUUUCAUCACUUUCACUGAUUAUACUAUUCAUUAGGUCAAGGUCGGCACUUUUGACCAUUAUUAAGACUUUCCAGAUAUACCAACAUAAAUUAUUAACCCUUCAUAUAUCAAUUAAAAAUUUAAUAAAAAAUAUUCUGCUCUAAUUAAUUUGAUGCUGGUUAUGCAAUAAUAUUGCUGCUUAUAUGUUUAUUUCGACGGAUUCAUUGAUAUUUUCUCCUCCCUUUAUAAAUACAGUUUUAAAAGAUCCGCCAAGAAAAAGUAUUUUGAAUAUAAUUGACAGUUUUUAUAUAUUGUGAAAGGACAACGGAAAUUUUAGGUAAGGUUUAUCACAAAGCGAUUUACAAUCCAG